rnacentral:rRNA from 1 species
GGACCAUCCUCCAAGGCUAAAUACUCCUGACUGACCGAUAGUGAACCAGUACCGUGAGGGAAAGGCGAAAAGAACCCCGGCGAGGGGAGUGAAAAAGAACCUGAAACCGUGUACGUACAAGCAGUGGGAGCACGCUUAGGCGUGUGACUGCGUACCUUUUGUAUAAUGGGUCAGCGACUUAUAUUCUGUAGCAAGGUUAACCGAAUAGGGGAGCCGAAGGGAAACCGAGUCUUAACUGGGCGUUAAGUUGCAGGGUAUAGACCCGAAACCCGGUGAUCUAGCCAUGGGCAGGUUGAAGGUUGGGUAACACUAACUGGAGGACCGAACCGACUAAUGUUGAAAAAUUAGCGGAUGACUUGUGGCUGGGGGUGAAAGGCCAAUCAAACCGGGAGAUAGCUGGUUCUCCCCGAAAGCUAUUUAGGUAGCGCCUCGUGAAUUCAUCUCCGGGGGUAGAGCACUGUUUCGGCAAGGGGGUCAUCCCGACUUACCAACCCGAUGCAAACUACGAAUACCGGAGAAUGUUAUCACGGGAGACACACGGCGGGUGCUAACGUCCGUCGUGAAGAGGGAAACAACCCAGACCGCCAGCUAAGGUCCCAAAGUCAUGGUUAAGUGGGAAACGAUGUGGGAAGGCCCAGACAGCCAGGAUGUUGGCUUAGAAGCAGCCAUCAUUUAAAGAAAGCGUAAUAGCUCACUGGUCGAGUCGGCCUGCGCGGAAGAUGUAACGGGGCUAAACCAUGCACCGAAGCUGCGGCAGCGACGCUUAUGCGUUGUUGGGUAGGGGAGCGUUCUGUAAGCCUGCGAAGGUGUGCUGUGAGGCAUGCUGGAGGUAUCAGAAGUGCGAAUGCUGACAUAAGUAACGAUAAAGCGGGUGAAAAGCCCGCUCGCCGGAAGACCAAGGGUUCCUGUCCAACGUUAAUCGGGGCAGGGUG